rnacentral:lncRNA from 1 species
CGAAAUGAAAGCCGGACAGGAAAAGAGGCCUCGUGAAAGUGAUGUUCCCGGGACCUCAGCUGAUUGGCCCAAAUGGCCCAAACGCCAACGCACGCCAGGCUCCGCGCCCGGCGUACAACAAUUACAAAAGCUUACAUGUUCUCUGUGAAGCAAAAUAAAAAUGACGCAAUUACGACGGCAGUUGUUAGACACGAUGACCACGCUGCCCUGGAAAACACCGUCCUCCGUAACCGGGACGACUUACCACACGGCUGUACAUGCUCGUCCGGCCGCAAUAACCAACAACUGACAACCAACGCCAAUCAACCAACAACUAUAUAUUGCGGAGCAUCAAUACAGUGCAACCGUUAUACAUAACGGCAACAUCGCCAAAGCUGCUGGUACUGCUCUAACAGGCACGAAGGCAGAUGCAUCUCGCGCAAGGCCUUGCGGCCACCUGCCUCACCUACCCACUUCCCAAUCCCUAAACAUCAAACCUGGCCAAAGCGGCUUCUUAUACCCAAAACUGGCACUAUUAGUAUUACGUCGACCAAUCCUCCGGUCGACUGAAUGCCGUUUGAUGCAUCUUCGCGGCAUUUCCACGCCUAAAGGCCUCUUCUUGCUUCAACUGCUCCGGUCACCUCCGUUUCACUCACAACAUGCCGCGGCGACAGCCGGGUACGCGGUCCCUUUGGCAUCAGGCCCCCGAGCUGCUGCUCCCGCUCCCGCUCUCCAGCAGCGCAUGUACAGCAUGUACGGCACGCACUCCCGCCGUACACGCAGUGGUCUGGUCUGUGCCCGUCGUCGUGUCAGCCGAACAUGUGGUCCCAGUCCGGUCCGCGGCCCGGCGGCGGCCGACCUAUGUCGUUGAAGCCUUCGCCGCGCUGCGCCCUGUGGGUUUUUGGAAUUGGAUUUUUGGAAUUGGGUUUUUGUGGAAAUGAAGUGGGACUGAAUCAUAUGGCUGGAAAAGGGCCAACCGCCGCGACAUCGUCACCCGCACCAGCUGUGCUGCAUCACCGGCGUUGGAGUCCCAAGCGACGAUGCAACGGUCCAUCAUGGCCCCUGGGUGGGAACGGUAUUCAAAAUGAAUCCAGGAUGGCAGCUGGACGAGGUAGGUGGAUGGGCACGGGGCUGAAGAGGCAGUGACGGUGGCGCAGCUGCGGGGGAGCCGUUUUACAGCGCCGGCGUGCGUCCAUAUUAAUCUAUCGACCAAUCUCGAAAGACGGGCGAAGCGGGAAAACACUCGCCGGCCAUUUCUUUCCCCCCCCACACUCUCCUCGUCCCUGUAAUGCCUUUUGCCUAGAAUGUGGAGGACCACAUCUUGCGCGAUUGCUUACAGCUUCAUCGGGAAAGGAAACGAACGGAAAAUUGCCAACUUUCUCCCUUUUUCGUCAAAGGGGUUUCCCGAGCGCGUUCUUCGUUUAAUCUCGGGCAUUAUUGCGUAGAGAUUACAUGGUACAAGUACAUGGUACGAGAGCCGGAUCAAAAUUCGUACGGUGGCCAGUGUACUACAGUUUAGUACGCCGGGUAGCAAAAGCGCCGCAGACGCAGCGGCAGCACAGACACCUUCCGCUCCGAAACCGGACGGAGGUCCGCGGGGGGCUCUCGGGCGCCGACUGAUGAGGCAGACGAGGUGUGGGGCUGAAGCGGCGGGUGGAUGAGACGGCGAUGGAGAGAGAAUGGAACGGCGGCCGAGGAGGGAUCCCCACCGCCAGAGCAACAGCGGGCAGUAGUGCAUGUUCCCCACGGUGCACGUACCCCGCCGCCGCCAUGACAGUGGUGGUGGUAGUAGUGGCAGUGACGGUGAAGAUGGUGAUGGUGAGAAAAAAAUGUAGUGGUCGUUGUUGGUGUCAAUGACGAACGGUGGUGGUGGCGGUACGAAGAGGAAGCGGUGCCGAAAUGAAGAUAAUACGACGACGACGACGGCGGCGGCGGCGGCGGGGGCGGGGGGGGGGGGGGGUCCCGGGGAAGCGACGCGGGGGAGAAGGCGGCAGGGACGCACGCGGUGACUUCGCCUCCGCGCGGGGGAGUUGCACGUGCGUGCCCGUACCCCGUACAAUGCACACACAUAAACACUUUCGUCCGCCUCGCGGCGGAGUUCAUGAAGACGUACAGACGCCAUCAAGACGUACAGACGUCAUCAAGACGUGCAGACGUCAUCAAGACGUACAGACGCCAUCCAGACGUACAGACGCCAUCCAGACGUACAGACGCCAUCCAGACGUACAGACGCCAUCCAGACGUACAGACGCCAUCCAGACGUACAGACGCCAUCCAGACGUACAGACGCCAUCCAGACGUACAGACGCCAUCCAGACGUACAGACGCCAUCCAGACGUACAGACGCCAUCCAGACGUACAGACGCCAUCAAGACGUGCAGACGCCAUCCAGACGUGCAGACGCCAUCCAGACGUACAGACGCCAUCAAGACGUACAGACGCCAUCAAGACGUACAGACGCCAUCAAGACGUACAGACGCCAUCAAGACGUACAGACGCCAUCAAGACGUACAGACGCCAUCAAGACGUACAGACGCCAUCAAGACGUACAGACGCCAUCAAGACGUACAGACGUCAUCAAGACGUACAGACGCCAUCAAGACGUACAGACGGAGUUCCGCAUCGGUGUCGUGAAGACUCACCUCGAGACCUCCCACGGCAUCCCCCCCUCAACACCACACCACACAACCUCACAUCCACACCGCAAAUGCCCCUCGCACACCGCCCACCACCGCGCACCUGCCCGCCCUCGUGUAGUCGUCCGGACUCCAGCCUUGCAGUCCCUCGGGGGCUAUGGGGUCCCACCUCAUACCCGGCACCGCGGGCCCCCCUCCCAUACCGGACGAGAAGCCAGGACUGCCGGCUGGAGGGUGACGCAGGCGGUCUGGCAAAGACGGGUGGCCGCAGUACAAGGAGUGAAGGGGAGAGGUUCGGGGGCUGCAAGCGGUUAUGGUUGUUAGCGUGUACGGCACGUGGGUAUAAUGUGCCGUACACAUACGGACACCACGCAAUUCGGGUCAGGUGAUGGCCAGACGUGGACGUGCUGUCCCUGCACCGCUUCAACGUUUACCGCGGAUACAUACAUACAUACGGAUACAUGCAUACAUCUAUACAUACAUAGAUAGAUAGAUAGAUAGACACAUAGAUAUAUGUAUUCAUAAAUAGACACACAGAUACAUGCACGUAUAUCCAUCACCCUAUAGCCAAACAACGCUGGGGCUUAUGAGCGCAGCAAACCGUGACUCUUGACACCAUGACAUACAGACACACACACAUACGACACGUGCGUGCCACAACCCAACCUUUACAUCGCUGUCUGCCCCCUGCCUGCCCCGCAUCUCAC